CAGCUGCUUUCUUACAACCUUUUGGUGGGGGUCUGGUUGGUGCCUAAGAGUUACUGCUUCCUCUCUAGAUAGCUACCAAGAUGAGGAAAGAACCAGUUUAUCUGAUGACCUGGGGAGAGUAGCUGCUGAAUUAGUUGCUGUGAAAUACCUAUAGCAGAAAGAACUUUUCACAGACCUGUCUUAUCACCUGCUUCCUGUUUUAUUCUUUCAUGGAUGCAACUUUCCCUGCAGGAAGAAGGGAACAGUUUUCUCCAUGCACCUGUUGGGGGAGCGAAACAAGGCUGCUUCGACCAUCAAUCUGUGGGACCUCAGAGCUCAGCCUGAAAGCAAGGGUGAAACGAAAUACGAAAAUUGCACUGCAGUAGAAGAGGAGUCAGCUAUCUGAGGGCCUCUGCUGAAAUCCCAUCUUUCGGGUGAUGUGGGAUUUCUCACCUUCUGAAAAUCCUGUUCAUGCUGCUGCUUCAUACCACUGGUUUCCCAAGUUGGUGCUGUAACUUCCUCAUUUGCCAUGGAAGGAUUGCUAUCUCAACUCACCUGCGUUGUUUAAAAUCUGGUUGGAUGCAAAAGCCCUUGAAAGCAACUCUGUCACCUGCAGAGCAGCAAGGAAGCCCCUCAGGCUGGUCUGGUGCCUGGUGGUGUGUUGAUUACUGGUUUCAGAAAUUGAGAUUACCAUUUCUGGUCCUAUUUAAGACUGAGGGAGAAAUGAGAAAUUCUGAAAUCUUUUCAAGACUGGAAAAUAGCUUUCUACAAGUUCCCCUCAAAUGAGAUUGCAGAAAUUCUUCUUUCUCCUACCCUGGCUCUGUUACCACGCAAUUCUCUUCAUGCUUGUCUCCAAGACCAAAUCUGAGCCAGCCUGAGAUUUGUGCUAACGGAAAUCAUAGUUCCUUCAGCCAAGAUCAUCUAGUUUGAAGUCUGAGAAGGGCUGGCAUAGCUCUGUAACAGCGUGUAAGGACAGCCCAAACAUCUUCACAUUCCCAGCCCAGAUCUCUGCCACCACCAGGCCCGUUGGAUGCUCCUGCUUGGCCUCUGGCUGCGCUUGCUGCCGGAUCUGUGUGUGAUGAUGGUAUCAUGCCGAGCCCAGGGUGGCCUGCCAGUUCCCCGGGGACACAGGGGUCAAGGCGGGUUCCAGUGGAGCCUCCAUGGAGCAUCCUUGGCAUGAGAGGCCAGUGAUGGCAACAAGCUUUCUCCACCACAAAGCAGAAGAGAGGUGAUCCUCCUCCCUGUGCUGAAGGAUGAAACACCUUGGGUGUUUCAGCCCAAAAAGGGAGAUCUCCAUUGGUGUCUUCUACCAUGUGUUGACCUCUGCAUCCCUCAGUGCUACUGAGAUCUUCUGUGCACCCCACAGGCCUGGGGGAGAUUGGUGGUGUGGCCGGAGAGAUAAAUCCCCUUCAGAGGAGCAGCAUCUUUUGUUACAACAUGAGUGAUAAAAUGAACUGUUCAGCUGUUAAAGUACUUUUAUACCAUGAUAACUGCAGCCACCCAAGGGUUUGUAAGCCAGAGCUACACAACAUAACAAGAAAACCCAGCUAUAUUUAAGCUGGCAUUGGACCACCACAUGCACUAAUCUCACACAGUUGCAAGGGUGAAAAGUCAACAGCUAUUUGCGAGGAAUCUUUAUAAACGCUGCUGACAUCCUUGCACUAAGAGUACAUUGGGUCAAUAUACAAAUUUAGGUAUCUCUAAAUAAAACAUACGUUCAUGUGGCUUUUGGGUCAAACUUAAAGGGCAUUUACCUCUGAUAGGCACCAGCUGUUAUUUUCCUGCAGACUUCUGGGACUCCAGAAGCACAGACAGCCAGAAAGUCUGAAUUUAAGAUGAGGAGGAUUAAAGAAGAUCCACAACAGUAAAUUAAGUGCUGCAAAGAUGCCAUUUUGUGGUGAAGUCAUGCCACUACCAUUACCAACUAGCCAUAGCAUAGGUACUGGCAUCAGAAGGAGACCACAACAUUGCCAUCAGGUGGGUUAGUAGUAAUUAUAAGGUACUUCUUCAGUCUAAGGAAAAUACACUGCAGAUUACUCACUGGCACCCAAAAUGGCAUAAUUAAUUGGAGCAAUUUAUUAAGACAAAUAAAGGGUCAUAGCUAAGCAGGGUACUUACAGUUAAUUUAUAGUUAACUAGGGCACUCAUUUACCCUGCUCACAUCCACCUAGAAGCUUUGUGAGAGGAUUUCAUCAUGCCUUUGAGAAGUGCAGAUGCUGGGUCUUCUCUCAUGCUAUGUGACCUUGCCACCAUUAAUGUGUUUGCUGUAGGAAAAAGACUGUUUUCUCUUGCCCAGGUAUGGUUUAAAUGGUCUUUCUCAACUCAGUAUUUCUUCAGCUAACUGUCUAACAACUAAAGCACAGUAAAAAUAUACCUUAUUUUCUCAUGUCUUGUAUUUGCUGAAUCUUUCCUAUGUCCAUAAUCAGGGCUGAUCGUCAACUAGUUUGUAAGAGAUUUAUCAUGAGAUCGUGAUCAUACAUUGUUUUCAUAAAACUCAUACCGAAGUCCACAUGGGCUCUUUUAUCAUUGAUAAAACGAUUAGCAAACAGUCCCAGCUCAGUUCAAAAGAGUUAUUAUAAACCAAGACAAAAUAUUUUCUCAGGGAAUUGUGCUGAUUGAAGUUUAUAUGCAGCUUCUGUCUCCUCAUUGCACCACGAUACCUGUAAAUUGGGUGGAGAGCACUUUGAGCUGAGUCUUUUAAUUUCUCUGUUAGAAAUGACAUGGGGGCUGCUACUGGUCUCUUUUCACGGAGGUUGACCUACAGCCCCCGCUUCCAAGCCCUUAUCAUGUAAACCCAAUGCAACUGUCUUAAUUGUUACACUUAAUUGUUAUACUUUGGUUUUGUGAAAGGGGGGUUGGGGGAAUCCUGAAACUUUGUACAUAUCCAAUUUGUAUUUCUGCUCAAUUUUGUUUAUUGCCUGCUCUUUGUAAGCUCCUUUUAUCGACAGUUUUUUUCUUAUUAUAUGUUCAUGCUAACUGGGAUUGCAAUGCACUGAAAUCUCCUAAUGUUCUGGUUUUUUAUACCACUGGUCACUCUGCCCUAACCCUAGAUGUAUGCACUGAAUAGCCACAUUGUUCGUUUAUAAUGUCCUUGGCUUUUCUAUAGCCUUGUCCCUGUGAUAUUACUUGUGGACACAGUGGGCUGGAUUGAAGACAGUGAAGUUAAAAGUGGUGAUGUAUGCAGCUAUGUAACUGUGAGAAGAAAUGUAUUGAUUCCACAUACUUCCUUUUCUAACCUGCUGUAAGGUGUUUCAUCAUGCAGGACAUCAUGGAGAUCUUAUAUUUAUUACUUAACAUACAUUGAAAGGUUUGACUUCUCUUUCUUGCUGGCUUUCUGAAUGGAAAAAGCUGUUGUUAACAUGUCUUGUGUGUCAGAGAUCAGGCUGUUCAUGACAGCUUAUGAAGCUUUGAACAUAUAUAGUAAUAGAGAGGAAUGGCAAACUGUUAUAUUAAUGUAGCUGAAGCACAAAAAGUGAAACUAUUGACCUUGCUAGCUCUGCAUUUGGGGCAAAUGUUACUGCAGUGAAUAGAGUAACUUUAACUAGCCUCAAACAGAAGUUGUUUUUAAUUUUUUUUCAUAUGUUUUGCUCUGGUCUAGAUAAAUGUGAAUGCCUAAGAAGGGCUGGGCAAAAGACUAAAAAUAGAUGCAAUUUUACAAA